UCAUUCGGGUUCACUGAUCACCAAGUGAAUGCCUUUGAGUCUCACAAUCCACCAGUGACACCUAGCAGCAUGUAGUGGCAACCCAGCAGAAUGGAAUGAUGAACCUCUAGGUGUAGUUAGUGUAUGAUACAGUCCCUCUAUCGUGGAUCCCGACAAGACGGAGGUCAUGGAUAACUCGUCAAACCCCUAUCGUCUGUCAUAUGUCAAGAUUUAUUCGACUUAAGUUCAAGAGUGGAAAACUCUUUUUCCACUAUACAUACUACCCCGGCCGAGGAUUUACGAACUCAGUCUCAUAAAUCACAUAGG
rnacentral:lncRNA from 1 species